UGGGGAAUAUUGCACAAUGGGCGCAAGCCUGAUGCAGCAACGCCGCGUGAACGAUGAAGGUCUUCGGAUCGUAAAGUUCUGUUGCAGGGGAAGAUAAUGACGGUACCCUGUGAGGAAGCCCCGGCUAACUACGUGCCAGCAGCCGCGGUAAUACGUAGGGGGCUAGCGUUAUCCGGAUUUACUGGGCGUAAAGGGUGCGUAGGUGGUCUUUCAAGUCGGUGGUUAAAGGCUACGGCUCAACCGUAGUUAGCCUCCGAAACUGGAAGACUUGAGUGCAGGAGAGGUAAGUGGAAUUCCCAGUGUAGCGGUGAAAUGCGUAGAUAUUGGGAGGAACACCAGUAGCGAAGGCGGCUUUCUGGACUGCAACUGACACUGAGGCACGAAAGCGUGGGUAGCAAACAGG
rnacentral:rRNA from 1 species